AACAUCGCGCACCUGCGGGAACCUGCGGAGGGAUCAUUACCGAGUUUACAACUCCCAAACCCCUGUGAACAUACCACUUGUUGCCUCGGCGGAUCAGCCCGCUCCCGGUAAAACGGGACGGCCCGCCAGAGGACCCCUAAACUCUGUUUCUAUAUGUAACUUCUGAGUAAAACCAUAAAUAAAUCAAAACUUUCAACAACGGAUCU
rnacentral:misc_RNA from 1 species